GAGUUGUUCGAUCAGUCGCUAGAGCCGUUGACUCUUAAUCAAUGGGGCGCAGGUUCGACCCCUGUACGACCCGCCA
rnacentral:tRNA from 3 species